rnacentral:rRNA from 1 species
UGCCAGCCGCCGCGGUAAUACGGAGGGCGCAAGCGUUGUUCGGAAUCAUUGGGCGUAAAGCGCGUGUAGGCGGCCAGGUAAGUCGGUUGUGAAAGCCCGGGGCCCAACCCCGGAAUUGCAUUCGAUACUGCCUGGCUAGAGUCCCGGAGAGGAGAGCGGAAUUCCCGGUGUAGAGGUGAAAUUCGUAGAUAUCGGGAGGAACACCAGCGGCGAAGGCGGCUCCCUGGACGGUGACUGACGCUGAGACGCGAAAGCGUGGGGAGCAAACAGGAUUAGAUAC